rnacentral:lncRNA from 1 species
GAGUUAGACAUAUUUUCUUAGAUCUCUAGCAUAGAGAUUUUGUACAUGAAGUUUAGGAAGAAAGAGAAGAAAGUAUUCUUCUCAUGAUCUCUGUCAUAGAGAUCUUCAUCCUCUUUUUUUUUCUCUAAAAGGGUCUUAAGAUAAAUGAAGCAUUUUCAACCAUUAAGAUAUGAUCUCUACAAGAGAGCUAGCACUCUAA